UACGUAGGGCGCAAGCGUUAUCCGGAAUUAUUGGGCGUAAAGAGCUCGUAGGCGGUUUGUCGCGUCUGCUGUGAAAACGCGAGGCUCAACCUCGCGCCUGCAGUGGGUACGGGCAGACUAGAGUGCGGUAGGGGAGAUUGGAAUUCCUGGUGUAGCGGUGGAAUGCGCAGAUAUCAGGAGGAACACCGAUGGCGAAGGCAGAUCUCUGGGCCGUAACUGACGCUGAGGAGCGAAAGCGUGGGGGAGCGAACAGG
rnacentral:rRNA from 1 species